ACUAAGCAGGAGCGAGUUUGGGGGACAAGAAAACCAGGGUGGGUUUUACUCAAGAGGCCAAAAGAAGAGGGAAGGUUCCACACACAGAACCCAGAGGGAAAAAGGAGGGAAAUAAAUACUCCACAGUUCUCCACUUUUCUCCUUUGCCACUUUCCCGCCACAAAAUGGAGGACCCCAUGGGGCUUGCGCCAUCUUUAGCUGUCCCUCUGACUGCCUGUAAGGGGCAGCCUAUAGUCUGGCCUUUAAGUGAUGCCUGGCCUCUGCAGGCAGUGAGUAGGACAGCUAAAACUGGCAAAGACCCCGCAUCCUCCAUUUUGUUCCUCCGGCCCCUUUUUAGAGAGGAUUGUUUUUUCCCUCCAUAAAAAGGUAAGCAGUUAGAAUAAUGGACAAAUGGAGUUGAAAGAGACCUUAGAGGUCACCUGUCCAACUGCCCAGUGCAAGAUCUACUAGGGCAUGUUUCUCAACCUUAGCAACCUGAAGAAGAGUGGACUUCAGCUCCCAGAACUCCCCAGUCAGCACUCAGGGUCUUUCUUCACUGGGUCUUUCCAUGAUUUAGCUGUCCCUCUCACUGCCUGUAGGGGGCAGUCUAUCAUCUGGCCUUUAAGCCAUACCUGGCCUAUGUGGGCAGUGAGUAGGACAGCUAAAGCUUGCAAAGACCCACGUGUUUCUUCAGGCACCUCCUUCUCACAAGGCCUUUUGAAUAUGAAUCACAUCUGAUCUUUUAUGCAUAUUUUCCUUUCAUCGUCUGGGCCUGGAGAGGGAAACCUGGAUUCUCUGGAUCUCUAACACCAGAUUAUACUCCCAAGGGACAAGAUUUUAAUUCCACUCCCAGAGAAGGGGCGGAAUGUGGGGCUCCCCUCCGACUGAGGGUUCCCCCUUCAGAGGGAGCCGCUCUGGCUGAAGCCAAUUCGGGGCUCGAAGCCCCUUCAGGAUUGGCUCAUCAAUGGAUAAGCCACGCCCCCAAGGGAAGGCAGCUGGUUGGUGGUUAUUGUUCAAAUCUCAGGUCCAGGCCAAUCAAAGCCUUGGCUUGUGACAUCAGAGGCUCCUCCUGAGCUCAUUGGCUGGAGCUCGCCAUGGCAACCUCCAGCAUCCUUAGGGAGUCUGGACCACUUAAUGGAGGCUCUGCUCAACAUUCCUGGAAAGUGGCUGGAUUGGAUGGCUGGCACUGGGGGCAUCGCAGGGUCUCCCUCGCCUGGGCUCCUCAGGAGGGAGAGACCCUUCGCUUUAAGGCAGAACUAAGGGGGGGGGAGAUUAGAAAAGUGGGGGUUCCAUUAAAGUUCACAGACGUGCUGAUACCUUCCAUGUUGGCAGCCUCCAUCCCUGUCACCAAUCUCCUCAUCCAUCAUGUCAAAGGUUCUUGUCUCCAGAAAGGGGCUGGGCCUGGCUGGCUGGCUGGCUGGCUGACUGGCGGUGAAGGGCACUCGGAAAAACCUGCAAUGUUUAGGGGCCCAAAAAAUGGCUUCAGGCUUUCGCAGUUGGGUGGGCAUUGCAACCACAAAGCUAGAGGUCGACCUGCUUCAUGAUUUGGGGAAAUGACUAAACUCUGAUUCCGUUGGCCAGAUAGUAGUUAUUUCCCAAUAGCACACUUGGCCUGGCGACUGGACAUUUGUUUUCGUUUUUUAUUACUUGGAUUUUUUAUACCGCCUUUAUUAUUUCUCUAAAUAGCUGAAGGCAGUGAACAUAUCUAAGAUUCCUUCAUCCCCACAAGAACAACCUUGUGAAGGCUGAGAGAGGGACUGGCUCAAGGUCACCCACUGGGCUUCGUGGCUGAGGUGGGACUCGUAGUUAAGGCAACAAUGAAAAGGAAAUGGACAAUAGAAGCAUUCAGCUGAAAGGGACCUUGUCAGCAACAAGGAAGAAAUGGUCAUACGGUCAAUAUCCUUGGAUAAUCUCUCAGCGACCACUGAUGGUCCCAACUUCCAGGUUGAUGAACUGAGAGACUUCUUUGACUUUCAGACCCAGAAAUCCCAGAAAGACAAUCAGUGGAUGAAAGAUCAGCACAGCUGUCUCCAGGAGAAAGUGGAUCAACUUAAGACCACAACGGAAGACCUGCAGAAAACCUGCAGGAGAUCAUGCCAUCAGUUAG